AUUGAACGCUGGCGGCGGGCCUAACACAUGCAAGUCGAGCGGAUGAAGGGAGCUUGCUCCUGGAUUCAGCGGCGGACGGGUGAGUAAUGCCUAGGAAUCUGCCUGGUAGUGGGGGAUAACGUCCGGAAACGGGCGCUAAUAUCGCAUACGUCCUGAGGGAGAAAGUGGGGGAUCUUCGGACCUCACGCUAUCAGAUGAGCCUAGGUCGGAUUAGCUAGUUGGUGGGGUAAAGGCCUACCAAGGCGACGAUCCGUAACUGGUCUGAGAGGAUGAUCAGUCACACUGGAACUGAGACACGGUCCAGACUCCUACGGGAGGCAGCAGUGGGGAAUAUUGGACAAUGGGCGAAAGCCUGAUCCAGCCAUGCCGCGUGUGUGAAGAAGGUCUUCGGAUUGUAAAGCACUUUAAGUUGGGAGGAAGGGCAGUAAGUUAAUACCUUGCUGUUUUGACGUUACCAACAGAAUAAGCACCGGCUAACUUCGUG
rnacentral:rRNA from 1 species